CCCCUUUGUCUUCCUGAUUCCUGGCUCCCCUCCCUGCCCUCUUCCCUUUGUGCUGCAACUGGGGUGGAACACGGCCAGGUUCCAGGGUUCCUAGUUGGUGGGUGACUCUACCUCUACCGCAGCAGGCCUAGAGGGUGAACGUGCUAGGCCAGCUUAAAAAGCAUAUGAAAGGCUUUCCCUUCUGCAGCCCAGCGGCUUGGCCCCUCAUCCCUGGAUUAGCAGAUCUCAUAGGAGCCUCCCCAGGAAGUCUGGUGUGCUGGCGCUUAUUGGCUCUAGUAGCAUAACCCUGAAAGUCAAGUCCUUUCCAGCUGGCUGCUUCAGGAUGCUUAGCAGGCCAGCAGGGCAAGCGGCAGUGGUGUCCCCUGUUUGUUUCUGAAUGAGACGUUAUUCCCAAGAAGUCACCAAGUGUGAAAACGUGUGUUGUCUUGCUAAUGGGACACUAAUGAAAUAUUAAAGUGCCUCUCUUCUUGUCAGUCUCCUGGGGGGCCACUCUAUCGUCUGUCUUUACCUAAAGGGCCCCAGGGAAUUAACAUUUCUUAGUGCUUUACAAAUAACCUUGGUAUUUCUGAUGCCAUAGUAGAGAACUUCAUAAUUUACAUCUAGUGACCACCUAGCUUGGGGAGGGCCUCUGUCCCUCUGCUGGGGGAAAGGCUGUUUUGGGUGGCUCUCCCAGCAUUCUGCCCCUCAUGCCCCACCUCUACUGCCCUCUCAACAGAAGGCUUUGCCCCAGUUCCCAGGGGACACGCUGUCACAGCUGCCCUGGAUUGAGGUCAGGCUGGGAGCCAGGCAUGCUGCCGGUCACCCUGCUUGUCACUAAGUCCUCCCAGUUAACCAUAGGGCAGUCAAGGCAUUUGCAGGGCAGGAAGCAUGGCCUGCCUGAGGUCCUGGCUGGCAAGUCUCAGAGCAGGAGGAAGAGGCUCAGCCCUCUCCAGGGGGAUGAAGCAGUGCAGCCUGAAGGCCCAGUGAGGAAGGGACAGAGGGAGUUCAGAGAGGAGGGGACCCCAGGGCGAGGGCCUGCUGGUCAGAAGCAUGAGGCAGAGUGGGAGCAGAAGAGUGGUGGAAGCAGCUAUGGUCACUGUUCAUGGUGAGGAAGGUAGGUCAGUGGUGACCAGGGUCACUAGGAAUGCUAACAGACAGCUGGAGCCAGACCUCCUGGUGCACACCUGGUAUCCCAGCACUCUGGGAGGCCGAGGGAGGACAAUCACAAAUUUGAGCCCAGCCUGGCUAACUUAGUGAGACUGUCUAAAAGAAAGAUGGGUGUGUGUGGGUGGGAAGCUGGGCAUGUAGCUCAGUGCAAAGGCUCUAAAUUCAACUCCCAAUACCAUGAAACAAAGUGCAGGCAAGCCCUGCUGCCCGUGGGAGGCUUCACCUACCACCAUGGGCCUCUGAUCCACCCUCAGGUCCU
rnacentral:lncRNA from 1 species